rnacentral:lncRNA from 1 species
UUUCCUUUUAUUUUUAGAAAUAAUCUAUUCAGUUGUUAAAAUUCCUUAUUCCGGGAUGGGUACGGUGGCUCACACCUAUAACCCCAACACUUUGGGAGGCCAGCGCAGGUGGAGGUUGCAGUGAACCGAGAUCGCACCAUUGCACUCCAGCCUGGGCAACAAGAGAAACUCCAGCUCAAAAAAAAAAAAAAAAAAAAAAAAAGAAAGAAAGAAAAAGAAAACAGGAGGAUUGGGCUAUUUCCACAUCAGGGUCCCAUUUAAUACCCCCUUAAAACAUCAGCUUUCCUUCCAGAGACUGAUCAUUGAGAAAGCAGUACUGCUGACAUAGAUCCUGCCUACUUAUAAAUCAUAAUGGUUG